UCCAGUCUAGUGGUCAUGAUUUCCGCUUGUCAGUGUGUCAUCACAACGAGCGCGGGAGACCGGGGUUCGAUUCCCCGUCGGAG